rnacentral:rRNA from 1 species
AUAAGAUGAGAGUUUGAUCCUGGCUCAGGACGAACGCUGGCGGCAUGCCUAAUACAUGCAAGUCGAACGAGCUUCCGUUGAA